CCAAUCCUCUCCCAGAUACCUAGCGCAAUCGGGUCAAUCCUCCACGUCCCCUCCUUGCUGCGCCGCCUCCUCCUCCCAUCCACUUCUCUGCUCCUCCUCUCGAAGCCCCAUUGCGUGGUCGCCGCCGUCGUUCGUCUCUUUCUUCCCACGACGCCUCCCCAUCCUCCAUCAGCCGUCGUUGGGCGCCGUUGUUCUGGACCGGUCGAAUGUCGCUGCCAAGGAGCAGAGGAGGAUGGCGGUGGGGAGAAACAGCAGAGGGGCACCGUCGUUCUGCUCACUCAGGGCGUGGGUCAGAGACGGACGAGGAGGCCGAGCAGUCCGGCAUGCCGUCGCCUGCCAAGGUCUGGAUCCUCCCCCCUCUUCCCUUCCAUGGCAGCGCCCCGACCCGCCGCAUCUUCCUCCUCCUUGGCAGACGGAUGGGGCAGGCGAAGAAGAGUGGUGGAUCUGCAUCCUCGCUGCGGAAGGCUCCCGCUGUGCCGACUCCAACCUGUAGCCUGUUCCGGCUCAGGUUCGUCUUCGUUUUCCUUGGUAGGCACUGUCAGGAACAUGAACAAUAUGUUGCAAGAUUUGAAAAAUUGAUAAUCAAGUAUUUCCUUCAUUUGUGCUCCCUAUAACAAGCAUAAGGAUUAAGGAUUCUGUCUCAUACUAUCAGUAAUAAGGACACUUCCACCGCUCAAUGACGAUGCUUUCUUGGAAGCUCAUGAGUCUAUCGUAACCAUGUCUGCUAGGCAUGCAUGUGGAUAUUUACCCAAAAGUUUGCACUUGCAUCUCAUUCGGUUUGGAUUUCCUAUGGCUCAAGUUUGUUGCUGUGCUCAGGUUUCAGGAAUAUUGAUAUUGUUAUCUUGACCCAAAAUCUAUUGCUGCAUCCUGCAAAUUUGUGGUCGAGUGUACAACUUACUUUCAGUCAGCAGCUAUGCUUUUGCUAAAAGAAAUAGAUGUUUUAGAAAAACUAACAAAGUUUAUGUAGGAACAACACUUGGUUUUAUCAACUCCUAGCCUGACAAUUAAUUGAUGUCAUCUAUUAACUACCAACCUGAAAGUUAGAUGUUUCCAUCUUUAUAUUCUAAUUUGUUGUUUUUUGAUUCACGAUAUAUGGAGGAAACAUAAAAUGGUGGAGUGCAUGAUGCUUCACCAGAGUCUGCAUUAUCGUCAAACGCCUUCCAUGAGGUUAUAUGAUGUGUACAUGGCAGUGUUACUGAACAGAAGGAGAACAUGAUGAUGCUCUCUUAAUUUAGUUUCUCCUCCGCUGACCAAAGCAUAUAGGAAACACCAGCAACCCUUCUGCAGUUCUGAGGAAGCGCUCAACCUUGACGUUGAUGCGGAGCAUCCCAAGGUCAUCCCCAUGGACCUAACAUCGUCUCACCAAGUGCCUAGCGGACCGAUGACUAGAGCUAGAGCUAGAGCUCUCGAGACCGAGGUGACCUCUCUCCUUAGUGACAUUACAUAUGAUCCUCUCGAGACAUGGCUACUACCUAAGUCCGAGACAUUGUGCAUGAUUAGGUACCAAGAAGACCCUCCUGAAGAUGCACGUGAAGACGGACAAGCCGCCAAGUCCACGGAUGAAGAGGAACGCUGGAAGGAGAAGAAGACACCUCCAGGACCCGGACAUCCGGCCCCCAAGCCCUGACGUCCGGCCGCUGAAGACUCCAGCUACCACAGCCUUCCGGCCGCUGAGCCCCUACAGGCCUCGGACUUCCGGCCCCGUCAUCCCGGACGUCCGGCCCCUCCCGAGCUCCCGGACAUCCAGCCCCCCAUCCCAGAAAUCCAGACCCUCCCGAGCUCCCGGACAACCGGCCCCCCAUCCCGGAAAUCCGGACCCCUCCGAACCCGAGAGCAACAAGACAGCAAUGCCAGCCCGGACAUCCGGCCUUCCCAGCCUGGACAUCCGGCCCGACGCCCGGGCGUCCGGCCUCCCUUGUCUGCGCACAGUGAAGGGACAAGGCUCGUGUAUCCCUUCUCCCCCCUAGACUAUAUAAACUCCCCCUCAUCCUAUGUUCUAGGGUUAGCAUUGGUUUAGCUCAUUUGAGAGAUAGAGCAUUGCUCAUCCACAUCGGAUCUACUCCAAGAGAGAGACCGCGGCCUCUACGGAGAAGAUCUCUUUGGAUUCAAGACCUCCUUGU